UAUGACUGUUGUGCUUGCACAUAAAGGCAUAUUGACAUAAGACGGGCUAGCCUACAUGAGCAAGUAGACCGAUAGGUCGGAUUGCGAAUGUGGGCGGCGAUUAUGGAGUGACGUAGGCACGGAAUAAUCG
rnacentral:sRNA from 1 species